GAAGGAGCCGUUCGGGCAAAAGCAGAGCGGUUUUAAAGCAUGAAUAUGAAUAACGGGAUGAGUUUGUACGCGGUGUCCCAGAGAUAAGCCUUACAAGAAGAGAUUUAAGUAUCUCAACAUCUGAUAAAGCAGAAGACUGAAAGAUGACGGGAUUGGAACGGUACUCCAAGGGAAGAAGAUACCAAACCUAAAAGGUCCACUUAAUCUAGAAGACACUGUGAUAAAAAGAACCAAUGUCAGGGCUCUGAUAAAGAGGAAGCGGUUGUGUGAGUCAGGCUACCAGGAUGAAUAAGAAUUUUCAAGACUUGGAUUGACAUGGCAUAGCUUUAAGCUCUAAGACUGCCUUUUUGUUUAGCUUUGAUAUAAUCUUCUCAAGCUCUGCUAAUAACAAGAAAGCCAGCCAAUGUUUUCUUCCAUGACUGCAGCCCAAAAUAACACACAGCAUAAAGGUGCAGCUGCAAUUGAAACGGUUUUCAGCUUUAGGAGCUCUAAGUACCUGUGUCCAUGUUGAAGUCACUUGCUUAGUUAUUCAGCCUGUCUUUCCUUCGUGUCCACAAAGGACCAGAUUCUAAGCGCAUUUCCUACCAAGGAAGACACUUAGGAUGCAGCUUGUACACACCCACCAGGUGUGAGUCACUGUGCUGAUAGAUCCUCAUUUCUCUCUUGUUUUCACUGCUUGGCAACUAAGUUAAGUUACACAAGUGCAAAUAAGCAGUGAAUGACAUCCAGCAGAUCUGACUGACCUCAUUUUCUCAUCUUCAUGACCACUAAUUGAAAGCAACCCACAGAAAUUACUGGAUUUAUGGCUGGGAAAAAAACCCCACAGCAAAGGUAAACAAGUGAGACCAAGCUGGAAAACCCACCUUUAAGUUCCUACAUAUAUUCUAGAUGAUUUUCACAGUGCAACUGAAUGGUGAGUGUCCCAGGUAGUGGGGCAGUAACAGAGCAAUUAAAAUGUUUCACUACGAUCCCUAUGACAGAAAUUUGAACUUCAAAAAGUGUUUGCCCUGAAGGCUGUCCCCAGGCCAGCUGGCUGCCAAAGGGUGUCUGCUCAGUGGGGCAAGGGAUACACAGCAACCUUAUCCUACUAAACAUAUGGCUACCGACCCUUACCACGCGGUGCUGCAUUCCUUCAGCACGGGAGAAUCUUUGACCUUCAUGAGAAAUGGGAGGAUCCAGGGAUCUGCAUAAAACCAUAGGAAUGGCUAGCAGAGAAACCGGUGUUCAGUUAACUACUGUUGAAGCUUUUCCUGUGAAUGAGAGGGCUUUAACCUCGUACAACUCACACAGCCUUUAAUUGGAGCACAGUGGGAAAGGCACCUGCCUGCAGCAGCUAUCUGUCCUGUCAGUAAGCACCUCCCUCAUAUCAGACCAGUUUCAGUUGUCUCCUAGAAGUGUAUCAUUUUGUUGAGCGAUAAAUGGAACUGUGAAAUACUGCCUGUAAUCAGCGCCCAUUAUUGCAAAGCUCAUUAAAUUCCUGACAAGUCUAGAGUUGACAGCACUUUAAUUUUGCUUUAUUGCCUCAUUUUAUCUCACCAAUUUCUUUCUUUGAUUUACUGUUAAUAAUGAAAGACAGCAGAAAUGCACUGUGUUUGAAAAUCAGAAAAAUAAGUAUUCAUCCUUCUAAAAAUCCCUGAUUCAGGCAAUAGGAACAGAGAGUAUCAGACAAUGCGAGCAUUGAGAAGGUGAUUAAACUUUAAUAAAACUGUCAACUGAAAUAAACCAAUCUCCUGACAAAACAUUCUGCUUGCCAGGUGCUGGAUUUUUGCUGUUAAAGAAUUCUCUUUCAACAGUCUGUUUCAAUGUGCAGCAGACUAAUGUUGUGACUGCCAAGUCACAAUUCGGUUUUGUGCAUGAUCUGUUGAGUCUCAGUAACAAAAAAAAAAAAAAAAAAAGACUGCUAAAAUAACACAUUUGGAACCCACCACAGUAACUACAAUAUAGAAUGAACGCACUAACAUGUAUUGAAUGGCAGCAAAGUUAUUCCUAUCUCUGACUGCACCAGGGAGCCUUUGGAGCCUGGUCUCUGCUCAGUGCCUUCACAGAAGGGUCUGAUUCUUCAGCCAUGUAGUCACUGACAACUGCCCAAAACUACCAGUCUGAUUUGACACAUGCUUCCAGCUUUAUAUAUAUAUACAUAUAUGUAUAUAUAUAAUUUGCGUUUUCAUUUGCAUGUGAUUAUCCAAAAUCCAGGGCAGUGAGAAAUCAAACACAUACAUCCACGUUCAAAAUCGAUAGCCCCUAUGGCCACCUGCAGCAACUUUUUACUGAAGUUCAGCACAGACCUGUCCAAUAAGCACUAAAAAUUAUUCUUUAUUAGUGCAUUCAUACCUUCUAGCUGAUUUGCCCUGCAGUGCCUGUAGUAGCAAUACUACAGAGCUGCAGGUGAGCUAACACUCAAAGCAGCAAAGAACUCGUUUCAGUGAUGCUGCCUCGUGUAGGAUCAGAGUAUGACUGAGGUAGAAAAACACCACUAAGAUCAUAUACUCCAAUCACCAGCCCAUCCCCACCACACCCACUAACCACAUCCUUCUGUGCCACAUCUCUACGGUUCUUGAACACCUCCAGGGACGGUGACUCUACACCUCCAAUAAGUGCCAGCUGUGUGAUUACAUGCCGAACUUCCUUGGGUGCUCUCCAGUAUCCUCUUGAGAGGAAAUCAAAGUUGAGUGUCUUGAAAGCUGAGAUGUUCCCAGGAGACUCUUGUUCCUGUUAAUGAGAACAUCACCUCACAAGGUUUUGCC